rnacentral:antisense_RNA from 1 species
CUUCAGCGACCCGAGGUACAGCGGCCGCUCCACCGCGCGCUCCCGGCCGUAGGUCGCGAUCAGGGCCUGGGCCUC